rnacentral:rRNA from 1 species
UACGUAGGGCGCAAGCGUUAUCCGGAAUUAUUGGGCGUAAAGGGCUCGUAGGCGGUUCGUCACGUCGGGAGUGAAAACUCGGGGCUUAACCCCGAGCCUGCUUCCGAUACGGGCAGACUAGAGGUAGGCAGGGGAGAGCGGAACUCCUGGUGUAGCGGUGGAAUGCGCAGAUAUCAGGAGGAACACCGGUGGCGAAGGCGGGUCUCUGGGCAGUAACUGACGCUGAGGAGCGAAAGCGUGGGGAGCGAACAGG